GGCCAUGUGGUUUAAUGGAUAAGUUAACUGAUUCCAAAUGUAGAGGAUUGAGGGUUCAAGUCCCUUCAUGGUUG
rnacentral:tRNA from 1 species